GUUGGCAUAAUUAGCAAAUAAUACAAAUGUUCAGUACAUUAAUAAUAGUAGGGUUGUCAUCAAAACAUAAAACAAAGGUCCAGUACAUAACUCGCUCGAUGGUAUAGAUCUAACAUUAAUAAUAUGCUCUGUCAUGAUCCCUUAAUAUUUUAGCAGCAAAGCAUUGAGAGGUCUUUUGUUCACAACAUACAAUCAGUUCACAACAUACAAUUAGCUACCAGCUGGGUAUCUUUAGGCAACAAAAGGUUCUUCCAGAUAGAGGAUUGACAUAAAUUCUUUUCUGUUGUCCUGGCAAUUGGCAUGACUUUGCUGCAUGAAAAACAAGCAACACUCUGAAUCAGUGGUGAAUGAAUCCAAUAGAAAAAAGAACCUGCGGUGUCAAACUAAAAUACAAAUACAUGUAUUGGUCUGGGAUGAAAGCAGGGGAGUAGAAUGACUAGCCAUCAAGUGGAGCUCAAAUAUUCUCUAAACUUUUGAAGACAUUCUAGUGGCAAACAACUCAUAACUUGCGUUUUUUCUGACCUGACUGCAUAUGUUUUACUUGUGAACAUAUAAACAGUCCAACCAAAUUCAGACUUCAAUCAAUUCAUCCUAGAGAUCUAUCUGACAUUUGACAACCUUUUAUUGGUCAAUCUCAUGCUAGAGAUCUAUAAUAGAGGUUCAUUGCAAGCAUAACAUAUGGCAUAUCACAGAUCCAAAACUGAAAGGCAACACAUUUGUCAUUUUCAAUCAGAACUGAAAUUGAAAUAUGUUUUGAAACUGAAACGCAAAUACAUUCUGAAUAGAGGUUACUAGUUCUCAUAUGAUACAUUCAGACACUCACAUCACACUUGUGCUUAUAUAUAUGCAGCACGCAUGGUUACAUCCAUAUAUGCAUCACAAUGAACUUUAGACAACUGUAUGCAUCCAUAUAUACAUCCAUAGUUAUCGUAAGAUUAAGUACAUCCAAACAUCCAUAUAUGCAUCCAUAGUUAAUUUUCUUGUUUCAUUUUCUACCAUACAGAUCUGGACACCUUGCACACAGAUUUGGAAACAUGCACACCGAUGUGAAAACCUUGCAAAUAUGAACAAUCAAUCCACAUAGUAAUGAACCAACUCACUAGGGUUUGGAAAAUACCUUGCACACAAAUCUGGAACCUUUUAAGCCACCGCCGUCCCCGUGCUCUGAUUCCGCCCAUCGCCGUGCUGCAUCACCCCGCUGCUGUGAGCUGUAACAAUGCCGAAAGCCGCAGCACGCCGCCGCCGUGCACCACUCCAACCGCCGCGUCGAGAGGACGAGGGAGGCCUCCGUCACCGUGCGCCUACGCCACCGCCGUGCACCACCGCCGCCGCCGUUGUGCGCUUCCGCCGUCUCCUCUCACGGUAUCGCCUCCCCUAUCGCUCUCUCGAGAGAAGGGGCUGCGACUCUGGGGGUGGAGGGAAUGGGCGGUGCGGUUCGGGUGGGUCGGGGGU
rnacentral:lncRNA from 1 species